CUAUUGCAUUACUGAGAGAGUGAGAGAGAAUGCGAUCGGAGAGUGGAGUGGAUCGUGAGGUAGAGGGCGGUCAGAGCUGAUUUGGUGUUGUUGAGCGGCAGAGCAGCAGAGACAGGGUGAAAACAGAGCAGAGCAAAGGCAGAGCAGAGGGGAAUCGAAGCAAAUUCAGUCAGCGUUAGCCGAGGCGCAGAACCACACGAGGAACUUCCCUUGCAGAUGGCAGGCAGAGAGAGCCACCGAUGGCGGAAGCCGAACGAACUUGCAGUCAGGGCAAGCGAGAGAGCAGAGCAGAGCUGCAACCACGAUGAGGGCUACUGAAGAGACACCCAAAACCGAAAACCCAAACCCAAAACCAACGCGAACCGCACCCAAUCAAUAUGCUGAGGUCGGCCAAAUGGGGUCUCCGAAUGUAGGCCAGUGGAGCACCAUUCUGGGGAGUCUUGCAUAUAAAUGUAACUAGAUUUCCGACCACCUACCCUAUCCCUUUCCUCUCCCUCUCUCCACCACCAUCUCUCUCGCACUCUGUCCUCCACAAAUUUCUGUCUACGUUUCGCCUUGUCUUUCUGCAGCUCUCCACGUUUUUUUUUUGCUCCAAUUCAGAGUUUAAUAAAAUAUUUGCUUUUGA
rnacentral:sRNA from 1 species